CCUCCUUUCUCCUCAAAGCUCAGCACUGGGGAAACACAACCCAGCAUCCACCCGACUCUAACUUCCUCCUUUCCUGGGAGAGGGAGAGAGACUGAGAGAAAGAGAGCGUUCUGUAUUGGACUUUUGUCGUCAUGGAGAUGUAUGAUUCUUUCAGGUUGGAGUGGAGAGAGUGACGUGCCGAUGAGCACCCAGGGGAUACAGCAGGGGUUUCUGGGAAAAUCCUUAGAAAGACCUGCCUGACAAACCACUGGAGAGUUGAUGAAGAACUCCACAGAAUUAGAUCUCAUGACCAGCCUAAAGUUCAGGACCUGAGCUGAGAACUGAGUGAAAUCAUGCAAAAAGAGCUGAAGAACCCCCAACCCCUUUCAUCACUUCUGUGUUCAAGAAUUUGGGCAGACACAACCGGCAGCCAGACACAACCAGGCAGACCAGGUAAUGCCAAAACACCGGAGACACAACAAUCAGGACCCAAGCCCCUCAGACCCUGCCAGAACCAUGGUCCAAAGGCAGAGCACUCCCAGAGCCCAGUGACCCAGUCAGAUGAUGGUUUGCUUGGGAUCCUUUUAAAUAAAUAGUUCAUUCUUGGUAAAACCAUCAUUUUUAUUGAUUUCCAUCUGUCCAGAUCAUAUUCUACCUUCUUUAAAAGUUGGGUGUGGUUUAUUUCAAUUUUGUCUGCCAGCCUACGUGAAACAUGAAAACGUUUAUAUUUCCAGAUUGAAGUGGGAUGGGAGUAGAAUUCUGGAAGGAGCCAUUAAUCAGAAGGACUUCGGGAGGGUUAUGUUUUCAUGAAACUGAUCAAAUUUGUCUUUAGAUGGGUUUACCUGUGGUGAAUAUAACAUUUUGUAAAAGUCCCUGAAAGUGUUGUUUAUUCUUUCAAGGUCAUAUACUGUGUCCCCAUUUAUGUCUUUAACAGCACAUAUAGAUGUUUUUUUUUUUUCUUUAUUUUGAACUGGUUGGUUAGAAAUAGACCUGAUUUGUUACCAUGUUCAAAAUUCUUCCAGCAAAGUCUUUCUGCUAAAGAUUGAGUUUUUGUAUUGAUUAUUUCAUUUAAUUUUGCUUUACGGAUUUUAUUCAGUAUUUACUGUUCCUGAAAUAUAAAAAAAAAUCUUCUAAGGAAAUAUGAUGGUUUCUUCUAAUUCCUGAGUACAUUUGUUUUCUGGUUUCUUUUUAUGCAAUGAGAAUGAAAUUUUUUUACCUUUCAUCACAGCUUUGCACUCUUCCCAGAGAACUGAUGCUGAUGUUCCAGGUAGGUCAUUACAGUCCACUCUUUCUUAAUCAGAUAUAUAGUUUUAAGCAAUGAUGUGUUUAAUCUCCAGUUUGUACUUGGUUGAAUUACUUUUUUUUCAUGUAUUGGAGUUAAAGAAAACAGAUGCAUGAUCACUGGCAUCUAUGGGGUGUAUCUCAGUGUCUGAAAUGUCAAUCAUCAGUGAGCUGUUGACUAGGAAAUAAUCCAAACAAGAAUAGGAGUGAUGGACAUGUGAGAAGAAUGUAUAUUCCCUGCAGUUAGGGUGAAAAGAACGCCAUGCAUCACAGUCCUUAGCCACUCAUAAUGUUUAACUAGAUUUAUAGAUUACG
rnacentral:lncRNA from 1 species